UCCUUGGUGGUCCAAUGGUUAGGACUCUGCACUCUCCCUGCUCAAGGCCCAGGUUCAAUCCCUGGUUAGGAAA
rnacentral:tRNA from 1 species